rnacentral:hammerhead_ribozyme from 1 species
CUCCAGCUGACGAGUCUCAUAUAGGACGAAACGCACAUCCUGGAU